GGGAGCGGCUGGACAAGAGCGACUGGCGGCACGUCACCACCUGCAUCUACGACCGCUACAAGGCCUUCAAUGACCACGUAGUCACGUCGCGCUGGUACCAGAGGAUGGCUGGCGCCAUCGUCGACCAGUUCCCUUUUCUGUUUCCGAACCUGUCUUCGCUCCAGGCACUGAAGCUGGUCCGAGGCCGGCUGAAGAAUAAGUUCAAAAACAACCGACGGCGGAAGAAGG